rnacentral:rRNA from 1 species
CCCGUGGGAAGCAGGAGGGACCACCAUGCAAGGAUAAAUACUACCGAGGGACCUAAAGCGUAUAGUGAGGUGAGGGAAAGGUGAAAAGAACACCGGGUGGGGAGUGAAAUAGAGCCUGAACCCCUGCAAUAACCAGCGGUGGAAGCACAAUUCUUGUGAGGCCGUGUACUUUUAGUAGGAAGGGCCAACGAGUUACGUUAAGUAGAAAGGUUAAGCACUUAAGGUGCGGAGCCGUAGCGUAAGAGAGUUUUAACUGAGCGUUCAGUUACUUGACGUAGACCCGAAACCGGGCGACCUACCCAUGAGCAGGAUGAAGCGAAAGUAAAAUUUCGUGGAGGUCCGAACCCACGAGCGUUGAAAAGCUCGGGGAUGACUUGGGGGUAGCGGUGAAAUUCCAAUCGAGCCCGGAGAUAGCUGGUUCUCCC